rnacentral:rRNA from 1 species
AUUGAACGCUGGCGGCAUGCUUUACACAUGCAAGUCGAACGGCAGCGCGGGCUUCGGCCUGGCGGCGAGUGGCGAACGGGUGAGUAAUGCAUCGGAACGUGCCCAGUAGUGGGGGAUAGCCCGGCGAAAGCCGGAUUAAUACCGCAUACGACCUGAGGGUGAAAGCGGGGGACCGAAAGGCCUCGCGCUAUUGGAGCGGCCGAUGUCGGAUUAGCUAGUUGGUGGGGUAAAGGCUUACCAAGGCGACGAUCCGUAGCUGGUCUGAGAGGACGACCAGCCACACUGGGACUGAGACACGGCCCAGACUCCUACGGGAGGCAGCAGCGGGGAAUUUUGGACAAUGGGGGCAACCCUGAUCCAGCCAUGCCGCGUGCGGGAAGAAGGCCUUCGGGUUGUAAACCGCUUUUGAUCGGGAAGAAAUCCUCUGGGCUAAUACCCCGGGGGGAUGACGGUACCGGAAGAAUAAGCACCGGCUAACUACGUG